rnacentral:lncRNA from 1 species
AAAUUGAUCUCUUUGACCAUGCACAAGGAACCACCUUCGGCCUCUUCCUCUUUUCUUUUGUGACCAAGCCCUUACCAAAUCUGGUCUCAAUCUCAUUCAUCUUGGACAAAACUUCAUAACCUUUCAAACGACGAGGAGGUUUUCCAUGUUCUUCCUUCCCAUUAAACUGUGAUUUUUGGGUUCUAAAAGGAUGAAAUGGAUCGACCAAGAAUUUUUUGUUUCCCAUGUAAGUGUAUUUCCCUCCAUGUUUUAGCCAAUCUGAAUCUAUCCCUUCACCACAAACAGGACAUGCAUAUUUCCCCGCAAUCCUACACCCUGAAAGAUGUGCAUACGCAGGGAAAUCAUGUAUUGCCCACAAUAAAAUGGCUUUCAUGUUGAACGUUUCCUUAGAGAAAGAAUCAAAUAUACUAACUCCAUUGGACCAUAAUUCUUCAAGUUCUGCCACAACAGGUUGCAAGUACACAUUAAUAUCAUGGUCUGGACCACUUGGACCAGGAAUCAAAAGUGUUAACAUUACGAAUUCUUUCCGCAUACAUAGAGAUGGGGAAGAUUGUACGGAACAAUCAUAACUGGCUAGCAACUAUAAGAGUUGCUUUUGUUCCCAAAGGGAUUAAAACCAUCAGUUACUAGCCCAAAGCGAACAUUGCGUGUUUCAGUAGCAAAGUUACUCCAUUUAUAGUUCACAACCUUCCAACAAGAGGAAUCCACCGGAUGACGCAUGUAAUUCUGGUUUUCAACUGACUUUGAAUGCCAUGUCAUGCAAUCAGCAAUCCAUGGCACACUAUACAUCUUUUGUAACCUCUCGGAUAAUGGAAAAUAUCGUAACUUCUUCCACGGUUUAGGUUUAGCUUUAGGCUUGGACUCAUCCAUUGGUCUCGAUCUACUUUCCUUACAUUUGUGACAAGUCUGUUCAUCCUUAUAUUCUCUCCAAUAUAGGAUACAAUCAUUCUAACAAGCGUGUAUAAUCUCAAAUCUCAUACGCAACGACUUGAUCAUUCUUUUAGCACUCGAGGUUUUCAUAGGUAUCGUGUUCUCACGUGGUACGAUUUUCUUAACAAACUUGAACAAUUCUGUGAAACUAUCAGACCACCUAUUUCUAGCCUUCAUGCUCAACAUCUCAAUAAUCACUGACAAUUUUGAAUGUUCAGCUCGACAUGAAGGGUAUAAGGGUUGUAACGCAUCCUCCAUAAAUUUCUUGUACCUAAUAUCCUCUUCUGGAUUACUUGAAACUACAACAUUAUCUUCAUUGCGAAAUGCAUCUAAAGCAUCUAAGCCAUAAGGAUGAGUACGUCCUAAAGCAUCAUUCACCAUGUCUUCCAUUCUUGGCAACAUAUUGUCGUGAUCUACAACAUGUGGCCUAACAUAAGCUCUAUGAUUGACACGAUUUACAGAAACUGACUCUCCAUGGUGAAUCCAUGAGGUAUAGGACUUAUCUAUGCCAUUACAUAUCAAAUGUUCAAAAAGAUCAUCAACUGUUUUCUUUUGUAAAUUAUUACAUUUAAGGCAAGGACAACAAUACCAAUCAUAUUCUUUCCCUAAUCUAUCUUGUGUGAAUAUAAUAAAUGACUUGACACCCAUGAUGUAUUCAGGAGAUAACAUAACUGCUUCCAUCCAUGCCUUGUUUGGGUGUGUUAAAGACAUAUCUACAAAUAAAAAUAUAGGUGGUGCACUGAGGUUAACUAAGUGAAUAUAAAUGUAUAUAAAAUCAUGCAACUGAAACAAUAUACAUGUUUAAAAAACCAACUUAUUUCAAAGUUAUGAACCUUGUAACAUGCAUUCUAACUGAUGACAUAAUACUCAAUCGAGUGCACAAAGAACAGUGACAUUAAGAUAAUACAAACACGAAUAGCUUAUUAACUCGUGCAACAACAUUUUUCAAAGAUCAUCAGAAACAGAUAAUAUUCGGUAAAACAACCAUAUUUUUUAUUCAUAUACAACACACUCAAGUAGUAGCAUGGUUCCUAUAUAUACUCUAUAAAAGAAAUUAGGAAAGGUUUUUUUUUUUAUUAUUAUUAUUAUUUAUAACAAAAUAGAAGUUUUAU